rnacentral:rRNA from 1 species
UACGGAGGUCCCAAGCGUUGUUCGGAUUCAUUGGGCGUAAAGGGUGCGUAGGCGGCGGGGUAAGUUGGAUGUGAAAUCUCGGGGCUCAACCCCGAAACUGCAUUCAUUACUGCCUUGCUUGAGUACUGGAGAGGAGACUGGAAUUCAUGGUGUAGCAGUGAAAUGCGUAGAUAUCAGGAGGAAGGCCAGUGGCGAAGGCGGGUCUCUGGACAGUUACUGACGCUGAGGCACGAAGGCCAGGGGAGCAAACGGG